rnacentral:rRNA from 1 species
GACGUAGGGCGCGAGCGUUGUCCGGAUUUAUUGGGCGUAAAGAGCGUGUAGGCGGCCAUACAGGUCCGUUGUGAAAACUGGAGGCUUAACCUCCAGACGUCGAUGGAAACCGUAUGGCUAGAGUCCGGAAGAGGAGAGUGGAAUUCCUGGUGUAGCGGUGGAAUGCGCAGAUAUCAGGAGGAACACCAAUGGCGAAGGCAGCUCUCUGGUACGUGACUGACGCUGAGACGCGAAAGCGUGGGUAGCAAACAGG